AAUUCCGAAGUGAGGCCUCUGGGUCACCUCCCACCCGUGUCUAUCGUACCUUGUUGCUUCGGCGGGCCCGCCGUUUCGACGGCCGCCGGGGAGGCCUUGCGCCCCCGGGCCCGCGCCCGCCGAAGACCCCAACAUGAACGCUGUUCUGAAAGUAUGCAGUCUGAGUUGAUUAUCGUAAUCAGUUAAAACUUUCAACAACGGAUCUCUUGGUUCCGGCAUCGAUGAAGAACGCAGCGAAAUGCGAUAAGUAAUGUGAAUUGCAGAAUUCAGUGAAUCAUCGAGUCUUUGAACGCACAUUGCGCCCCCUGGUAUUCCGGGGGGCAUGCCUGUCCGAGCGUCAUUGCUGCCCUCAAGCACGGCUUGUGUGUUGGGCCCCCGUCCCCCUCUCCCGGGGGACGGGCCCGAAAGGCAGCGGCGGCACCGCGUCCGGUCCUCGAGCGUAUGGGGCUUUGUCACCUGCUCUGUAGGCCCGGCCGGCGCCAGCCGACACCCAACUUUAUUUUUCUAAGGUUGACCUCGGAUCAGGUAGGGAUACCCGCUGAACUUAAGCAUAUCAAUAAGCGGAGGAA
rnacentral:rRNA from 1 species